rnacentral:misc_RNA from 1 species
AACGCACAUUGCGCCCUUUGGUAUUCCGAGGGGCAUGUCUGUUCGAGCGUCAUUUCAACCCUCAAGCUUUUGCUUGGUAUUGGGCUUUCGUCCGCCUAAGGACGUGCCUGAAACUCAUAGGCGGUUGUACCCAGCUCCCUUGCGUAGUUAUUUUAUCUCGCUCUGGAGGCUUCUGGGUAAUAACUCGCCUGAAAACCUUUUUUAUUUUCUUAAGGUUUGACCUCGGAUCAGAUAGGGAUACCCGCUGAACUUAA